rnacentral:rRNA from 1 species
GACGAACGCUGGCGGCGUGCCUAAUACAUGCAAGUCGAACGCAGUGGGGACGGGUGAGUAACACGUGGGUAACCUCCCAUCAGAGGGGAUAACACUUGGAAACAGGUGCUAAACCGAUACUGAUUGAUGGACCCGCGGUGCAUUAGCUAGUUGGUGAGGUAACGGCUCACCAAGGCCACGAUGCAUAGCUGACCUGAGAGGGUGAUCCGCCACACUGGGACUGAGACACGGCCCAGACUCCUACGGGAGGCAGCAGUAGGGAAUAUUCGGCAAUGGGCGAAAGUCUGACCGAGCAACGCCGCGUGAGUGAAGAAGGUUUUCGGAUCGUAAAGCACUGUUGGUAGAGAGGCGGUACCUGACCAGGAAGCAACGGCUAACUCCGUGCCAGCAGCCGCGGUAAUAC